GUGAGUCAGGAGCAAGGAAGAAAGAAGAGGAAGGAAUAGAGCUUCAAGUCAAGAACCAUGAAGAAAGAAGUGCACAGUGGCAGAUCUGCGAGUCAAGAGCUGGGAAGAAAGGAGAGGAUGGCAGCAGAUCUGUGAGUCAAGAGGCAGGAAGAAAGAAGAGGACGACAGUGGAUCUGCGAGUCAAGAGCCAUGAAGAAAGAAGUGCACAGUGGCAGAUCUGCGAGUCAAGAGCCAGGAGAAAGAAGAGGACGGCAGCAGAUCUGCGAGUCAAGAGGCAGAAAGAAAGAAGAGGACAGCGGAUCUGCGACUCAAGAGCCAGGAAGAAAGAAGUGCACGGUGGCAGAUCUGCGAGUCAAGAGCCAGGAAGUAAGACUAGAGAAGAAAGAAGAGGAUGGGGCUGGAUCUGCGAGUCAAGAUCUAGGAAGAAAGAAGA